UACGAAGGGGGCUAACGUUGUUCGGAUUUACUGGGCGUAAAGCGUACGUAGGCGGAUUAGAAAGUUAGGGGUGAAAUCCCGAGGCUCAACCUCGGAACUGCCUUUAAAACUUCUAAUCUAGAGAUCGGGAGAGGUGUAUGGAACUCCUAGUGUAGAGGUGGAAUUCGUAGAUAUUAGGAAGAACACCAGUGGCGAAGGCG
rnacentral:rRNA from 1 species